rnacentral:rRNA from 1 species
GAUGAACGCUGGCGGCGUGCCUAAUACAUGCCAGUCGAGCGAACGGACGAGAAGCUUGCUUGUCUGAUGUUAGCGGCGGACGGGUGAGUAACACGUGGAUAACCUACCUAUAAGACUGGGAUAACUUCGGGAAACCGGAGCUAAUACCGGAUAAUAUUUUGAACCGCAUGGUUCAAAAGUGAAAGACGGUCUUGCUGUCACUUAUAGAUGGAUCCGCGCUGCAUUAGCUAGUUGGUAAGGUAACGGCUUACCAAGGCAACGAUGCAUAGCCGACCUGAGAGGGUGAUCGCCCACACUGGAACUGAGACACGGUCCCGACUCCUACGGGGAGCCGCAGUCGGGAAUCUUCCGCAAUGGGCGAAAGCCUGACGGAGCAACGCCGCGUGAGUGAUGAAGGUCUUCGGAUCGUAAAACUCUGUUAUUAGGGAAGAACAUAUGUGUAAGUAACUGUGCACAUCUUGACGGUACCUAAUCAGAAAGCCACGGCUAACUACGUG